UGAGAGGCUUUGGCCAACAUGGCUCCCAACGCACCAGUGGCCGAGCCCGAGUAUCCUAAAGGCAUCCGGGCCGUGCUGUUGGGGCCUCCCGGGACUGGCAAAGGUACCCAGGCACCCAAAUUGGCUGAAAAAUUCUGUGUCUGCCAUUUGGCCACUGGGGUUAUGCUGAGGGCCAUGGUGGCUUCUGGCUCGGAGCUGGGAAAAAAGCUAAAGGCAACUAUGGAUGCUGGUAAGCGAUGAAAUUGUAGUAGAGCUCAUUGAGAAGAAUCUGGAGACUCCUUCAUGCAGAAAUGGUUUUCUUCUAGAUGGCUUCCCUCGGACUGUAAGGCAGGCAGAAAUGCUCGAUGACCUCAUGGAGAAGAGGAAAGAGAAACUUGAUUCUGUGAUUGAAUUCGGCAUCACAGACUCUCUUCUGAUCUGGAGAAUCACAGGAAGGCUGAUUUACCCCAAGAGCGGCCGUUCUUACCACGAGGAGUUCAACCCCCCCAAGGGAGCCCAUGAAAGAUGAUAUCACUGGGGAACCCUUGAUCCAUUGAUCAGAUGAUAAUGAGAAGGCCUUGAAAAUCCGCCUGGAGGCCUAACACACGCAGACCACCCCACUAGUGGAGUACUACAGAAAACGGGGGAUUCAUUCUGCCAUCCAUGCAUCCCAGACCCCUGACGUCGUGUUUGCGAGCAUCCUAGCUGCCUUCUCCAAAGCCACAUCCUAGUAACAGAAGGCCAGGCGAGACUGCACCACUGCUCAUCACCCCGCGGCAUGAUCCCUGCUCUUAGGUGCUGGGCAGAGGGGAUGGGUGGUCAUGGUGAGGAUGGAGAGGGAGGGCUGGUGAGGGGCUCAAGAGGAGUAUUAAGAAGAGCAGCAGUGUGGUUGUAGUGAGGCAGAUUAUUUUUACACAUAGGUGGUGACUUUAAAGUUUUAGUAAAGGGGAAAAUUAAUUUU